GUGUUCUGGCAGCUGCCAGAUGUUGUGACACUGAUGACUGUAAUGGAGAAACUCUUCCUGCACCGACUCCUCAAUCAGAGAACGGUGGACAGUGUUUCACCUGUUUCCCUGGUCAACCUGAAUGCCAGAGUAUAUCAAGAUGUGAAGGAGUGGAGGAUCGAUGCUUUCAGGGAGCUGUCACGACCAGUUCUGGGAAUUCUCCGCUGUUUGGUUGUAUAUCUCAAAGUAUUUGUGAAGCUGCACCAGAUCUGGCGACGUUUCCAUUACUGCAAAGUUUUGGUACAAUCACCAGUGGACCCCUCUGUUGUCAAGGAGACCGAUGUAAUGAUGGCACGCUAACGACUCCUGCCCCAACCACUGCUGCCCCAACCACUGCUGCUGCCCCAACCACUGCUGCCCCAACCACUGCUGCCCCAACAACUGCUGCCCCAACCACUGCUGCCCCAACAACUGCUGCCCCAACAACUCCUGCCCCAACAACUCCUGCCCCAACCACUGCUGCCCCAACAACUGCUGCUCCAACAACUGCUGCCCCAACCACUGCUGCCCCAACAACUGCUGCCCCAACAACUCCUGCCCCAACAACUCCUGCCCCAACCACUGCUGCCCCAACAACUGCUGCCCCAACAACUGCUGCCCCAAC